UUAUUUAUCGUUGUUUACAGAAUAAAUUAAGUGUUAUAAAUUAUGGGUGAAUUAGCCAAAUGACCAAAUUUGAAAAGGAAAUUAAGUGCAUAGCAUUGAUUUUGACAUAAUAAAGCCCUUAACAAUUAUGUCAACUUAUAUCCGGUAAUACCCUUUUUUUUGUUCAAGUUGCCAGUAAUAGAGAGAGAAAUUGAUGACAUCAACAAUUUGACACCCCACAAUUAAUUAUCACACCUAAUUCAAUCAACACCACACUUUUGUUUAACACUUAAAUAUACAUCUAAUUUUUCUAUACCUU
rnacentral:lncRNA from 1 species